rnacentral:misc_RNA from 1 species
AGAGAGAGAUGGAGCCGAGAUUCCUCAUGAAAGUGACACAAAGUACAAAGAGGAAAGAAUCUUGUUCCUCACUGACUUGACAUGCACCACAUUUGAUACCACUUAAAAAGCUUCAGUUUAGAAACUCCAUCAAGGUAUGCUUGGUUUCAGCAGCAUAUCUGAAAGCUAGCAUCAACUAAUCCUGUUUUAAAGCAUUAUUUGAAUGGACUGGCAUAAAUUCACUACAAAAAAUAAGACUUUCUUGUGCCUGUGUGGAAAUCGCAUUAAUCCAUAUUGCAAAUAAAACUUUGCUGGGAGAUUAUGAUUAAGUUGAUAAUCAGUCAUAUGACUCUCAUCAGUGGGAUAUUUCACUAGAUGCACACUUGUCAUACAUAGGUUAGUAGGGAAUGUUUGAUUCCUUGGGGUCUCCCUACCUGAUUAAUUUAUCAUCCUUGAAGAAAAGAACUUAUCUAAAGGAUUGAGAAAGGAAUCUCCCCAAACCAAAAGAAGUCGAUAGUUAUAUGGCUGGCCAUAAUUAAGAGUUUGCACAAACUGAGAAGAACCUAAAUAACUAUUACCUUAUCUGUCACCCUAGAUAGGUGUCUAGCACAGGCUUGACUAGCCUAUUUUGGUAAAUUCUGCAGUCACCUUGUUUGUUCUAGGAGAAGUUGAAACUAGAAAUUUCUUAAGAGGCAUCGAGCAGCCAUGAACAACAGAGACGGAAGCAAUGAUUCCUUGAGUGAGAAGUCGAUGAAGAUGGUGGUAAACAUCAUUAAACUUUCUUCUUUUUCUAUUGCUAAGAUGAGUCUUGGAGCAGCUGGGCCUACAGUUGUUACCAAAAGCCUGGCACCUGUGACAGGCUCUGUCUCGGAUGCUAAUGAACCAUUACUGCCUUAUAUUCAUAGAAGCCCAAAGUCACAACAGGUAAGGAGCAGAUCAAAUCCUUUCUCAUUUGUGAUGCAGCCUGAUGAAGGGAACGGAUCUUCUUCAUAUAUGAUUCAUGAGGAGAACAGUGUUAUAGAUGGAAUGACUUCUGACUAUAUCAAGAAAUUCCAUGAGAAGAAUAGCUACGAUGCACAUCUCCAUUAGACAUCAAAACUUUCUCCAGACAACCCAUCAUCCAUCACGAGCAGUGAAGUAGCCAUCUCGAGCUGGUUCCGUAUUUCAAUAUGUACCUUUAUCUGCUAUAAUUAAUGUUUAAACUUCUAAAUUUGCUUGGGCUAGUUGCUUAUUAUUAUCUUCUUUUUGUUGCUACUGUUUUUCUCAAGAAUACAUUCCUUAUGCUUGUUGUUUACUGGGUUUUACUUUCUUGCCUACCAAGGAGGAUUUUGUGCUGUAAUGGACUUGGCGGGAAAAGCGAAAAAGUCAGUCAGCUUAAUUACGUCAGCAAGUUAGUUGUGGUUAACUUAUCUUGUUGGUUGCAACUGACAGCUAAAGUGUAGUUCUUCUUCUUCCUCCCUUUUUCUGAUAGUUCUGUAGUUGCUGCAACUCUUUUAGGCUUAAGCUCACUCAUGAGCUAAGAGUCAUAACCGAUUCAUGGUCCUAAACAGACGUUAUAUGGCAAAAUAUGUGCAAAUAUGCAAAUAUGCCAUGUCUUUUAUUUGCUGUACCUAAAUAAUUGCUUUGAUUAUUGACUUGCUGCUAAUGCUCAGACAAUUUAAAGUAUUUCUGUGCAAUUACUGGUUAGAAAACGAAUAAAA